AGUGAACGCUGGCGGUAGGCCUAACACAUGCAAGUCGAACGGCAGCACCGUAAGAGCUUGCUCUUACGGGUGGCGAGUGGCGGACGGGUGAGGAAUACAUCGGAAUCUCCUUUUUCGUGGGGGAUACCGUAGGGAAACUUACGCUAAUACCGCAUACGACCUACGGGUGAAAGCAGGGGAUCUUCGGACCUUGCUCGGUUGAAUGAGCCGAUGUCGGGUUAGCUAGUUGGCGGGGUAAAGGCCGACCAAGGGGACGAUCCGUGGCUGGUCUGAAAGGAUGAUCAGCCACACUGGAACUGAGACACGGUCCAGACUCCUACGGGAGGCAGCAGUGGGGAAUGUUGGACAAUGGUCGGAAGCCUGAUCCAGCCAUACCGCGUGGUUGAAGAAGGCCUUCGGGUUGUAAAGCCCUUUUGUUGGGAAAGAAAAGCAGCAGGUUAAUACCCCGCUGUUCUGACGGUACCCAAAGAAUAAGCACCGGCUAACUUCGUG
rnacentral:rRNA from 1 species